AAAUCGGCCAAAAUUGCCCCAAAAAUUCCCAAAAUUGCCCCGAAAAUUCCCAAAAUUGCCCCGAAAAUUCCCCCGGGAUCGAGCCCGAGAAUGGUGAGUGGGGAGGGGGCAGGGGUCACUCGGGGGUCAGGGGUCACGCGGGGGUCAGGGGUCAUUCAGGGGUCAGGGGUCACUGGGGGGUCAGGGGUAAUGUGGGGGUCACUCAGGGGUCAGUGGGAGGGGUCAGUGGUCACUCAGGGUCACUCAGUGGUCACUCAGUGGUCACUCAGUGGUCACUCAGUGGUCACUCAGUGGUCACCCAGGGUCACUCAGUGGUCACUCAGUGGUCACCCAGGGUCACUCAGUGGUCACUCAGUGGUCACUCAGUGGUCACUCAUUGGUCACUCUGGUCACUCAGUGGUCAGUGGUCACUCAUUGGUCACUCAGUGGUCACUCAGUGGUCACUCUGGUCACUCAGUGGUCACUCAGUGGUCACUCAUUGGUCACUCUGGUCACUCUGGUCACUCAGUGGUCACUCAGUGGUCACUCAUUGGUCACUCUGGUCACUCUGGUCACUCUGGUCACUCAGUGGUCACUCAGUGGUCACUCUGGUCACUCAUUGGUCACUCAUUGGUCACUCUGGUCACUCUCAGGGCUCCUGGUCAUCACCGUGGCCACCGCGGUCACCGACGGCUUCAGCCGCUUCCUGCGCUCGGCCCGGGCCUUCAACUACAGCGUGAUGGUAAUGAGAUGCUAAUGAGAUGCUAAUGAGGGUGUAACUAACACAGGGCCUUCAACCACAGCGUGAUGGUAAUGAGAUGCUAAUGAGAUGCUAAUGAGGGUGUAACUAACGCAGGGCCUUCAACCACAGCGUGAUGGUAAUGAGAUGCUAAUGAGGGCCGGGGUAUGCUAAUGAGGGUGGGACUAACAGACAGGGCCUUCAACUACAGCGUGAUGGUAAUGAGAUGCUAAUGAGAUGCUAAUGAGGGCCGGGUAUGCUAAUGAGUGUAUGACUAACAGACAGGGCCUUCAACUACAGCGUGAUGGUAAUGAGAUGAUAAUGAGAUGCUAAUGAGAUGCUGAUGAGGGCCGGGGUAUGCUAAUGAGGGUGGGGCUAAGGGCCUUCAGCUACAGU
rnacentral:lncRNA from 1 species